ensembl:lncRNA
CUGGAUAUAAGGAGAAAGGUUUUUUUACGACAAGGGUGGCAAGGCACAGGCACAGGUUGCCCAGAGAAGUGGUGGAUUCUCCAUUCAAGGUCUGGCUGGAUGGGGCUCUGAGCACUGAUGGAGCUGUGGGUGUCCCUGUGUGCUGCAGGGAGUGGGACCAGAUGGCCUUUAAGGGUCCCUCCCAUCUCAAACCAUUCUAUGUUUCUAUGAGUCCCAACAGGCGACGUUGUUUUGGACAGCAAGAAGGAACAACUGGAUGGACAGAAGUCCCUUCUUGCUGCUCAGCUUUGGGGCUAGAGCUCACAUCUAACCUCCCAGUCAGACCCAGUGACUGACUCACUCCCUUAUCCCAUCCGUUACCCAGUGGGAAUUUAUCUUGUGGCAGAGAUGUUUAUAAACCUUCACCCAUCUGGAAGCCAUUAUCUCCAAAUAAAGUUUAUUUGAAGAAAUUGUAUUAAAUGAUUACAUGUUAUUUUUACCUCGGCUAGAAAGCAAACUGCUCUACCAUUGCUGAGAGGUUCUCUUUGGCCCAGACUUGUUUUAAUAUUUUAUCCAGACUAUCAGCAUCAGGGCAUGGCAGCUCAUUUGGCUGUUUUGCUAUAGCUGUCUGGUGGUCAGACAUAAUUUAUUAAGAGUUUGACUCUUUAUUUAGGUUUAUUUGUUACAGUUUCUCUUCUCCAUCUUCUGUUAGGUCUGUCCAUUGCCCGUCUAAGUUGUCUCUUUAUUUACUUUCUGCAUUUUGCAGCAAAAAUUCAAAAUACAUAUUGAAGUCCAGAAAGGAGAGAGAAGAAAGCAGAUAAAAAAUAUCCCAGACUGGUUGCCAAACCGUUGUCACUUGUGUUGUGUACAGGGAAAAAGCUGGACAAGACAGUUGCAGGGCUGACUCCACUCCUAGUACAAAGAAAAUUAAAAAGCCAUGAAGGGCUAAAGCAGAACAGUAACCAUCAGCAAAUGCACAGAGUGGCAAUCCAGAGGUGAACUUCAAGGAUCGUGCAAUCUUACUGCAGAUCUUCAAGCUACGGAUUGAUGUCACGAUGGAGAUUACAGGCAUACACAGCAUCUCCUACUCAUACCAUUCACAACUGGCAAUUGUUUGUAUGGAUUAUAUCACCACCAUCCUGAGGCAAGCACAAAAGGAACUACGGAAGACCAAACAGCAUCAUCUGUUCUUUCUUCUGUGGAGGUGUGGCACCGAGGGACAUGUUAGUGAGCAAUACUGGUGACCCUGCAAGAUCUACGAAGGAGACUCAACCACUGUAAGGUUCACAGCUGGUAGACACCGGAGCCUUCAAGCAGAAAACAGAAAUCCUUUGAAAUCAGAGUGCUCUGCUACCAAUUGCUAUCUGCAAUCUUUGCAGAGACCACGAGUCCCCAUUGCUGAUUGUAAAGGCUUGAGCAAGUCCUGUCUCCUCACCUAAGGGCAUUACAUAUUUAUCACAUCUCUUCUUGAUCUCCUGCUUCCCCUUUAGAAGUCUAGGACACUUCAGCCUCACCCUGUGUACACAUCCUUCCUCCUACCCACCACCCCUCUGCUUGACCUCAUCUCCAUUGCUGGAAUCUGGCAGGACAAAGACGGAGUGAAUUCACACUUGUAUCUCCUGCUGCUUGUUAUGAUGACCUGGCGUAUUUCUCCUGCUGGAGAGUUCAUUUAAAUUCUUACAUUCCCAGCCAAGCCUUUGUAGAUGAGCGAAUCCAUCUGCCUUGUUCUGUUUUCCCCCUUGGCGUGCUCCAAGCUUUCCUUGUCCUGUCCUGGCCGUGGUGUCCAAGUCAUGCCUGCCUCAUGGAGGGACAGGAAAGAUUUGUGUCAUGUAUGUCUACAAGGUUAAAUUCUCCAACCCGUGGGUUUUCAUAUAUCUUUAUCCCAAGGUUUUUGGCUUCCUCUCUCCUAUUCUCAGUAUUUUUAACUCUUUUAUUCACUCUGCAAAUACGCUAUCUGCUGAUCUACCCAGAAGAAACGUCCCCAUACCUUGCCAUUGGUGGUUGGGAGAUAAGAACUCACACAGGAGGAACAUCAGGGGACACAAAUUAAUACUUAUUUUUUGGGAGCCAAGCGAAAAGCAAGCCAGAUGACUUCAGCCCAGAACGCCCUUCAAAAAGGAACCCUUGUGAAGGUGAUGGCCGUGAUGAGGAUUAAGCGAGUGCAAGGAGAGGCGGGCUGAGAGGAUAGCUGUGGCUCUUGGGUAGAUUAAAAUAAACAGCGAUGCAAAUAGGGAUGACAUCAGCCAUAAGGACUGCAGAGUCCCAGCCAAGGCAUUUGCAUGCUGAGAGCAGAGUUGGGAUUCAGAUGAAGAAGAUUGCUACUGGUAGUUCAGGGUAAAUGGCCCUGUGUAUAUCUGGCAGCACAAGGACCCCCAAAUUGUAGCAGAGCUGCGCUGAUAACACACCAGGGAGGGUGGACGGGACUUUAUGGAUGAGGAG